GUGUAGUUUAAUUGAGUUGAAAAUAUAUGUCUGCAAAACAUAAGAUAUGGGGAAAAGAGUUUGUUUCAUUAUAUU
rnacentral:tRNA from 1 species